AUUUAUUAAAUAAAAUUAAUUAUUCCCUAAAAUAUCAAAAAUUUUUAUGCUAAAACACCUUAAUAAA
rnacentral:tRNA from 1 species